UUCAGCUCUGGAGACCAGCCCCUUCACUGUCACUCCCUAUGCCUCUCACUCCCUACUCUUUCCUCUGGAUACCUUCUCACGAUCACUGGUCAGAGAAUCUCCCUGCCUCACAAGGAGCAAUGAAUCUGGUGUAGCAGGUAGCACAAGCGGGAGAGACAACCACCCUCCACACACCCCCUACACUCCGGGAAAGCUGCAAUCUCUGAGACCCUUUCCAGGGGCAGCUUGUGAGUUUAUUUGCUGGAGAUGCGGGAGGAAAGCAACCAGUUGUGACCAGCUGCUUGUGGCCCACAAGUUUUCCUAAGAAGAAGCAAGGGUGCUGCUGUUCAGAUUGCUACCUGGACUCCUGAUCCCAGGGGUUACAAGGCAAGAGGAUAAAAUCAUAGGAUUGUCAGAGCUGGAAAGGACCUUUGGAAUCAUCUCAUCUAAUUCCCCCAAUUAUAUAAAUAAGGAAACGAAGUACCAGGGAUUGUCCUUAGGUGCUGGAACAUUCUUCCUUCUGACUAACAGGUAAAUGAAGCAAGAGCAAAAUAUCAAAGGCUAAUGCCAAAGAAAACACUUUAUUUAAAUGGCUUACUAAGUAUUUAUUGAUCAAUUGACUGAUUGAUUAGA